UCGGUCAGCCGCAGUGAAUAGGCCCAAGCGACUGUUUAUCAAAAACACAGGUCUCUGCAAAAUCGUAAGAUGAAGUAUAGGGGCUGACGCCUGCCCGGUGCUGGAAGGUUAAGAGGAUGGGUUAGCUUCGGCGAAGCUCAGAAUUGAAGCCCCAGUAAACGGCGGCCGUAACUAUAACGGUCCUAAGGUAGCGAAAUUCCUUGUCGGGUAAGUUCCGACCCGCACGAAAGGCGUAACGAUUUGGGCACUGUCUCAACGAGAGACUCGGUGAAAUUUUAGUACCUGUGAAGAUGCAGGUUACCCGCGACAGGACGGAAAGACCCCAUGGAGCUUUACUGUAGUUUGAUAUUGAGUGUUUGUACCACAUGUACAGGAUAGGUAGGAGCCGAUGAGACCGGA
rnacentral:rRNA from 1 species